rnacentral:rRNA from 1 species
UCUCCCUACGGGGCGCAGCAGUGAGGAAUAUUGGUCAAUGGCCGGAAGGCUGAACCAGCCAAGUCGCGUGAGGGAAUAAGGCCCUAUGGGUCGUAAACCUCUUUUGUCAGGGAGCAAAGGCGUCCACGUGUGGACGAGAGGAGAGUACCUGAAGAAAAAGCAUCGGCUAACUCCGUGCCAGCAGCCGCGGUAAUACGGAGGAUGCGAGCGUUAUCCGGAUUCAUUGGGUUUAAAGGGUGCGCAGGCGGGCCUUUAAGCCGGCGGUGAAAUCGCGGGG